GACGAACGCUGGCGGCGUGCUUAACACAUGCCAGUCGAACGGAAAGGCCCUGCUUUUGUGGGGUGCUCGAGUGGCGAACGGGUGAGUAACACGUGAGUAACCUGCCCUUGACUUUGGGAUAACUUCAGGAAACUGGGGCUAAUACCGGAUAGGAGCUCCUGCUGCAUGGUGGGGGUUGGAAAGUUUCGGCGGUUGGGGAUGGACGCGCGGCUUAUCAGCUUGUUGGUGGGGUAGUGGCUUACCAAGGCUUUGACGGGUAGCCGGCCUGGGAGGGUGACCGGCCACAUUGGGACUGAGAUACGGCCCAGACUCCUACGGGAGGCAGCAGGGGGGAAUAUUGCACAAUGGGCGGAAGCCUGAUGCAGAAACGCCGCGUGCGGGAUGACGGCCUUCGGGUUGUAAACCGCUUUCGCCUGUGACGAAGCGUGAGUGACGGUAAUGGGUAAAGAAGCACCGGCUAACUACGUG
rnacentral:rRNA from 1 species